CAUAGUGUUCUCUCCCUUCCCCUGGAAAUGGGGCUUUCUGAGACACAAAGUGCAGUGAUUGUUAUUUCUCUUCUGGGUCUAGCCACUCAGCAGAACUUCUGUCCUCCUGGCUGGUACUGGAGAGUGUCUGCAAAGAAUCCUGUGUUGUGAUCCAUCUUCAGGUCUCUCAGUCGUGGACACCAGCACCUGCUCUGGUGGAGAUAAAUAUGUACUCAAAGCAGGUGGCUCAAUCCACUUAUCAGCAUUUGGCAUACCAGGGUUCAAUGGGUAAUCACAAAGAAGAACGGGGCAGAGCUAGAGAACAGAGAGAACCCUUUCUGGUGACUCAAGUGUGCAGAAGGUAAUCAACUCUUCCUAAGGAUCAGGUAUGGAAACAAUCUAUUUCCCUAAACUCUUCUUUCAUAUGAAUCAAUUUUUUUUUUAAUGCUAAGAUGUCGGCAAACCUCUCAUCCUCAAGUCCAACACAAUGAUCUAUUAUUUUGGGGGAAGGUGAUGCAGCAACCUCCCCCAACUCCCCCACUUCUGGGAGAUGAGGUAUACAACUUUAUUACCCUUAGAACUCAGAAAAAGGUCUACUGUUUCUGGGGAAAUAAAUAAGCAAAAGUUCUUUAACCCAUAAGGAAUGGUCAACACAAUCUCUCGGAUCCAGGAUUUUGCAUGAUUUCAAAGCAGAGUUUUGCUGCCACUUGGACAGGGGCAGUAAAGACUAUCUCACACAGGAUUUUCCACAGAUAGAAGACAGAUUUUUGCUAUUAGGAGAGUGAUAAAUACUCUCUAGAAAAAAACCCUAUGUCUAAGGAAAAGACAUAUUGGGCCUGCCUAAAACUUGGCUUGUCCAGAAGAAAAGAAAGUCCUCUGCACCCUUCAUAAUCCUAGUAUUGAGCAACAAGUACUCAUAGGAGAGGAGCAAGAGUUUUGAGUUUGUGUUCAUUGCAGAGGUCUAUGAUGACUGUUAAAAACCCUGAGGGUGGGGCAGAAAUACACAGAACAAUUGUUCAACACAUCAUGCCCUCUCCUAGCGUGAGUAACAGCGACUUUCUUCUAAAGGUGAUGAUAACGACAAUAAUACCUAAACCCUUCUCAACUCCUGAUUAGAACAAUUCGUGUCUGACACUAAUGACCUCACUGAAAAAGACCUAUGCAAAUAUUCAGGCAUAAAUAGUAUUUAUCUCUGUUACUACUGAUAUCCUACAAAGGAUUUUGGACAGUUAAUUAAAAUAUAUAAAAGAGACUAAAAAAGCAAGAAUAAAAUCCAACAAUGCUACCAGAUAAGCAACCAUGAACAACAUAGUCAAACAUGUCACACAUGUUGGAAAUAACAGACACAGACAUUCCAAUAACUUUGCCCAAUAUGUUAAUCUAUUUAAAGAAAAAUGUCAAAAUCAUUUAUGAACAGAUAGGACACUUCAAUAGAGAUGGGUAAUAUAAUAAUGUCACACUGAAAUUCCAGGAAAACACACAUACUAUGAGAUGAGAUGAAUUCCUAUACACACACUAUGAGACGAAUUCCUGUACACACACACAUACACACACAGUAUGACAUGAAAUAUUCCCAUAAUGAAAUUUCCAGUAGAAUGGAAAAUACUAAGGAGAGCAUCAUUCAUCUUAAAUAUAUAUCAAUAAAAGUUAUCAAACUGAAACAACAAAAGAAAAAUGUGAAAAACAAAGAAGAUAGCAUCUACAAGCUUUGGCACUAUAUCAAAUGGCCUAACAUAUAUGUAAGUGAACUCUUGGAAGGCAAAUAGAUACAGAGAAGAAGAAAUAUAAAAAGAGAAAUAACUAAGAUCUUUAGCUAGCAAAGUAGAUUACAUUCAACUAUAUAAGAAAUUUUAUUAAUGUAAUGGUUGAACAACCUGAUUAAAAGUAAAGACAAUUUCAAAUAAAGAUAAAUAUAUACUUUCAACAGGACACUUAUUGUAACUUUAAAAACCUAAGUAAGUUAAAAAUCAAAGAUUAUAAAAAGAUAUUCCAUGCUAACAAUAAUCAAAAGAAAGCUGGAUUGGCUAUAUUAACCAUAUGACACAGUAGACCUUAGAAUUAAAAAUAUCACUAAGAAUAAUGGGGGACAAUAUAUAUAAGUAACAAGAUCAGUUCACCAGGAAAAUUGAAGAACUUAAAAAUAUGUAAAAGAACCGAGAGAAUUG